UGAGUUCAGCCUAUCAUUUGAGAUCCGAGUAUGAUUGGGGAAAUAUCCUGAAAUAGUCCAUGAUUUGAAGAAAUGGAUAGAUGGCUAGAAUAAUAUGCUAGAUGGUACUCAGGUUACUAACUGCAGAAUUGAUUUGAUAAAAUUCUCAUCGUGUCUCCUGACUUAGGAGAAAUAUUGGGUCUGAUGAAUGGGUAAAAUUCCCAGGUGAAAAGAAUUUGGUCUGUAAGAUUUGGCAGCACCCUGAGGUUUGCCAUAUCUGAUGGCCUGGCUUUAGUGGCAGCACCUAGUGAAGGCCCAGGUGUCCUUCUGACAACCUUUACCGCCUACCGUUUUGUCCUUACUUAUGUUGAAUCACUACACACAGGCUGUUGAAUUCAGCUGUCUGUGGAGAAAUUAUACCAACCACAUGGUUAGACAGAAGGAAUACAAUAUAUUGCUUAAUUUGUAUCUGAAAGCUAAGCAACAUGGAAAAAAAUCAAGCCUGCUCAGUCACUUCCAUGAGGACAAAUGAAGACACUUCAAGGAGGACAUUGACAUGGAUCUGCCAGCUUUCUAAGCCUUUCCCCAGAUUCAAGUCCAGUCACAUCAAGUUGCCUUAUUAAAGGGUCUGCCCACUCAAAAGGAGAAAGUGCAAAAGAUGCUCAGCAAGGGUAGCAAACACAGUCAGAUGAUACUUCCUGACAGCAUCCAAGAGCAAGUCUCACCACCACAUCUGUCAAUAAAA
rnacentral:lncRNA from 1 species